rnacentral:lncRNA from 1 species
AUACUGGACAUCCAUGAAGUAAACUUGCUACUAGACCAUAUGGAAUGACACAGCUUCACACAAAGUGAAAUUCUCGCCUCAAAAGUUAACCUAGAAGAUAUAGAAAGAGAGUUCCUCACUGUCACUCCAUGUCUCUAUGUGCAUGUGCCCAUGCUGGCACAUAUGGAAACAUGAAAUUAUUCAUGGACACUACAUACCUAUAUUAGCAAUAAUACAACAGAAAGAAAGAAAAAGACAAUUGCUUUCAUUCUCAGGACUAAGAGACUCAGAGACAUGACUAGGUUAUAGGAAAGCAAGUCUACCAUGCCCUGCCAUCCUCUCCUUUUAAAAGCAUAUUUCAUCCUCUGGCCAUCUUCUCUGGUGUCACCAAGGUGUGACUACAUGUCAGGAGCAUCACUAGUGCUUAGAAGAGAACAAAGCUCCACCAUCCUUGUCAGGCCUUGCUCCAAAGUCAUUAUCCUGUUGGCUAUUGUGUUUAUAAAGCAUAGUUAUUUUGUAAUUUUAAAUUGUUGAUUAUCACAUUUCUGAGAUGAUUGUUGUAAACCUCACAGGUAGGCAGAUCAAGGCCAGAGUGAUCAUCUCCAGAUUUGAGGCACAACUCAAACACACAGGAAGAUGGCAAAGUGAUAUGCUCUCAUUUUCACAGUUUGGCUUCCUUGAACUGACAACUUCAGCAUCAUGGCAUCAUGCAUCAUGGGCUGUGAACAAAGAUCCAAGAAGAAUGCAUCAAGAGAGGAAAUUCUGGGAUUAUUAUUUUUCUUAUUCUUAUGGUUUUAGAAAGGCAGAGAGAAACAGAAGGUAGAAAGAGAGGUUGGACAUGGCAAGGUGAAGAGGCAGGGAAGGGAUGGGGAAAAGGAGAGCUAGAGGUGAGAAUAAGAGAAGUGAGAGUUUAAGAGUCUGGGAUUAUUUUAAAGAUAUUUAUCUGCAAAUAAAUGAUAUCAUAAAUGAAAUGGACCUAAUAGAGAUCAAGAGUUAAUCUCACCCCAAAACACUUAAGGAUACAUAUUCUUCUCAUAAGCUUGAGAAAUUUUAUUAUAAAUUUGGGCUCUUAGAAAAGAGCACUGUGGUCUGUGUAACUUAUAAUGAUUUUUUUUUCAAAGAUCUGAAUGCUGGGAUGUCCCUGAUAGUCUCGAAGAUCCUGCGAAGGAGGAGAGUCUGAAUCCUUAGUGACUGCAGAAUUUCUUCCUUAUUGAUGAGCUCUUCCAAGGGUUACCAAUCUCACUCAUGGGUGUAGCCAACUUAUAAUUAAAGAUAGACACAUUUUCCCUGCUCACAUGCAAUCACACUAAGGAUUAGAUUUCAAAGCACAUAGGAGAACACAAGCUAUCAAAUUUUGGAUUGUUUUGCAAUGUUUUCUGGUAAACAAAUGAUCCCAGACACUUAAUUAACAUUAAUUAUUCUAGUAUUAUGAUUAUAGCAUUAUUAUUAAUGCUAAUAUGUGUGUGUGUGUCUGUAUGUGUUAACUUUUUAAAAA